AAAAGAGUGGAUUGGUGGGAACUGGAGUUAGAUGGCUGCUGCAAGGACCAGGAUCAGUCAGUGUUUAGAUGAGAUGCCUAUGAGAAACAUCGGGGAGCUCCUUUUGGAAUUUGCACUAUCUGCCUCUCCGUGCUUAUCAGAUGACUUUGGUUCCCUUCUACCCCUCUACUGGAAGAGCUUUCGAUUCCAUCUCCAAGGAAAAUGCCCAUUAGUAAAAGCACCCAGCUGCUAGAGGCAACUGGGUUUCAGAGCUCCUGGGGUGUUUGUAGUGCUGUGAGAGAUGGAUCUCUCUGAUUAGCCCAAAUUACUUUCCUAGUUUUAAAAGAAAAGACAAAAGUUCCGUGGGAAGAGAUUCGAUAUAGAACUGGCUUCAGCUCCUUUAAGAAGUGAAGUGUACAUUGGUAUAUGUGUGUGUGAAAGAUGAGUUAAAGAACUACCAAGAGAGGAAAUAGGACAAAAGGGAAAUUAGGAGCAGGAGGGAAUUGCCAUGUGCAGCCUGGUCAAUACUGGGGUGUAAUGAGUGUAUUUUUGGUCCUUCCACAUUUCUUAAAAAAAAAAUAAAAUUUACCAGCUGAAGGAGACAAAAUGCUGCUGCUACCUUUUGAAAGAAACUAAAUUAUUAACAUAGCAGGUGUUAUCUGAAAAUCUGUAUGUUCAAGGGGCCUGAAUAGAGUUAAUUUUUAAACUGCUUGAAUUGUAAAAAAAAAAAAAAAAAUCCUGGUAAAAUGUUGUUUCCUCCUUAUAAUUUAGGCAUCACACAUAGGUACAGUUGUGUUGGGGAAAAUUCUCACAAGCCAUAAAAGUGGUUACAGAA